GUCGGCUCGACCACGAUGGAAGGAAGCCUCUUGGACAACUUUGGAAUCCUUUCAUGGGUAUCUGGGAACAUCUGUUUAAAGCUCAUGACUGGUUUGAAAUAAUCGAAACACACACAUUCACACAAAUAUUUCCAGACACACCUGGAAGGAUACCGUGCCCUGAUCUGCAGCUGCUCCACCCCCGCUGAAGUCCUCCGUUCCUGGUUCCAGGGAGUUCAUCACCUCAGUCAUCCUGGAGGAAAAAACAUGGUGAUGAUCACCAAUCAAUAAACUGUAUGCACUGUGUUUCUCUACACAA